GCUUGUUAGUUCAGUUUGGAAAGCGUCAGACCGAAGAUCUGAAGGUCGCGUGUUCGAUCCACGCUCACGGCA
rnacentral:tRNA from 1 species